rnacentral:rRNA from 1 species
GAUGAACGCUGGCGGCGUGCCUAAUACAUGCAAGUCGAGCGAACAGACGAGGAGCUUGCUCCUCUUACGUUAGCGGCGGACGGGUGAGUAACACGUGGAUAACCUACCUAUAACACUUGGAUAACUUCGUGAAACCGGAGCUAAUACCGGAUAAUAUAUUUAACCGCAAUGUUCAAUAGUGGAAGGAGGUUUUGCUGUCACUUAUAGAUGGAUCGGCGCCGCAUUAGCUAGUUGGUAAGGUAACGGCUUAACAAGGCAACGAGGCGUCGCCGAGCUGGGAGGGUGAUCGGCCACGCUGGAACUGAGACGCGGUCCAGACUAGAACGGGAGGCAGCGGAGGAGUGUCUUCCAUUGUGGGCGGAAGCCUGACGGAGCGACGCCGCGUGGGUGAAGAGGGUCUUGGGUUCGUAAUGCUCUGCUAUUAGGGAAGAAAAGAUGUGUAGGUAACUAUGCGCGUCUUGACGGUACCUAAACAGAAAGCCACGGCUAACUACGUG